UACAGAGGGGGCAAGCGUUAUUCGGAAUUAUUGGGCGUAAAGGGCGCGUAGGCGGCCUGGCAAGUGGAAGGUGAAAUCCCUCGGCUUAACCGAGGAACUGCCCUCCAAACUGCUUGGCUUGAGUCCGGGAGAGGUGAGUGGAAUUCCCAGUGUAGCGGUGAAAUGCGUAGAUAUCUGGAGGAACACCGGUGGCGAAGGCGGGACUCUGGGCCGAUACUGACGCUGAGGAGCGAAAGCGUGGGGAGCAAACAGG
rnacentral:rRNA from 1 species